rnacentral:lncRNA from 1 species
AGAUGGAAUCUUGCUCUGUGGCCUGAGCUGGAGUACGGUGGCACAAUCUUGGUUCACUACAACCUCCACCUCCUGGGUUCAAGCAAUUCCCCUGCCUCAGCUUCUGGAGUAGCUAGGAUUACAGGCGUGCCCCACCAUGCCCAGCUAAUUUUUGUAUUUUUAGUAGAGACAGGGUUUUGCCAUGUUGGCCAGGCCAGUCUCGAACUCCUGACCUCAGGUGAUCCACCCACCUUGGCCUCCCAAAGUGCUGGGGUUACAGGUGUGAGCCACUGCGCCUGCAAUGCCCGGCCUGCAUUAUAAAUAUUUGUUCAUAAUGUGUUGCUAACAGUGACAAUCAAUAAGAAUCAACUGGGUUUGUUCCCCAGCCUGUUUAGUUUUAUUAUUGUGAUUAC